CGGGCCAUGUGACGUAUUUUUAGUCAUAUGGUCCUAGUGAGAGUAACCCGCCGGCUAGGGAGUCUGGGAGUGUUAACUGGUUAUUUAACAGAGUAGAAGAUGAGAGAGAGACUGGGAUGUGUGAUGGAUGAGUGACAGGGAGAAGGGUGUAAUCUGUUUGACGUAAGGGUGACAGGCUGUGUGCGUCCGUGUGUACAUGUAUGUGGGUGGGUGUGGGUGACUGGGUGUGUGUGGUGGGUCAGUGUCCGUAUGUAUGUGUGUAUUACCCUUGUGAGACCCGCUCUGUGUGUAUGUGUGUGUGUGUGUGUGUGUGUAUAGGGAGGGAGAGACACGUGAGUAAAGAAGGGAGGAUGGGGGUCAGGAAAGAGGAGGAGGAGGAAGAGGGCUGACUGGGUGGAGCUCUUAAAGAUAGUAUUCAGAAAUUACGUGUUUUCUUGACGGCUUCGCUGAGUCACUGUGUUAGGGAAGAGGAAGAGGAGGAGGAUGAGGAUAUAGAAGUGAUGUAAGCAUAGUGUUGCCACGGUGACGGUGGUGGUGGGCAUGAUACAGAUGCGGGAGCUGGAGUUUGUGCCCAAUGGAGACAUGCAGCUGGACAAAUUCUGUUGCUCAUUGCUCAGACUGGAGUUUACAUGUAUACCUCCUUCACCAUCAUUGGUGGACACUUCACCAUGAGUGAUGCUUGAGCUGUCACGGUGCUGCUGCUGCUGUUGUCUGCCAUCAUCCCCCUGACACAGACCACCCUGCAGACCACCUUCAUCCUGGGUGCCACACGUCACUGCUGCUACAACUCAGAGCAACUGGAGCGCAAACCAGGAAGGGAAAUGUGUUGCCACGGUGACGGUGGUGGUGGGCAUGACACAGAUGCAGGAGGUGGAGUUUGUGCCCGAUGGAGACAUGCAGGUGGACAAAUUGUGUUGGUCAUUGGUCAGACUGGAGUUUACAUGUGUACCUCCUUCACCAUCAUUGGUGGACACUUCACCUUGAGUGAUGCUUGAGCUGUCACGGUGCUGCUGCUGCUGUUGUCUGCCAUCAUCCCCCUGACACAGACCACCCUGCAGACCACCUUCAUCCUGGGUGCCACACGUCACUGCUGCUACAACUCAGAGCAACUGGAGCGCAAACCAGGAAGGGAAAUGGUUACCUUCUUGUUGAUGUGCAAUCUUGCUAUGUGGGCGAUGAACACCUCUGAGACAUCACGAGCAGAUGCCCAUCCAGCACAGCUCAACUUGUAUGGAAUCUGGACCUGGACCAUCAUAUCAAUGCCACUGGCUUUGAUAUGUGUUUGAUAUGGCUUCUAUUGCUUUCAAGUGACCAUCUGCCUCUGUGAAAUAUGGAAGAUCUUACAAGCUCAAGCAUGAGUAUUAAGCAAGUUAUAGGAAUGCUAGUAUGAGUGUGGUGUGUCUGAAUUAGCUGUCAGAGUAUUGUAAAUAUUAUUACUUAGUCUUCCCAGUUAUGAAAUUAAGAACAGUUGUGAAGUUUGCUUUAAAACCCUUCAUUAACUUUGCCACAAAACACUUUUACAUGUUAUCAAAAGUGUGUAACUGUUAUGAUGUGUGCAUAUAUAUCAUUACUACAGAAGAAUCUGGAAUUUCCCCUCAGAUUACUUUAAUGAAUGAAGCUUGAGUUCACAGAUGUGUGGUUUGUAAAUUUCACCUGUAUUCUCUCCUCUAUGGCAGUCUGUUCUGGCAAAGUUUCAUUUGUCAAAAGCAUUACAGUUUGUAAAUGAUGUGUCUUCAUAUGCCUUCACUAGCAAUUAUGAAUUACAUUGUGGUCAUGGAUUUUGUUCUUUUAAUACAGUUGCCUCAAGAUAUUCUGAGCUUUACAAUGCUGUCUUUAGUACACUGCAAGAAAAUACAGAAAUUUCAUGUGGCAACAUUUAUUUUUAAAACAUUAUUUAUUACUUUUAAAAAUAGCAAUGUGGGGCUUCCUUAAUGCAAAUAGUCUUGCCCCAAAAAACUUGUGAUGUCAGACACUAACUUCUCUUAACACAGCACAACCAAAACCACUCAAAAUUAUACAUUAAUUUUUUUUAUAGAGCAACAUGUGUGGAAAGUGCUACCAGAAAUAUUUGCAUAACAAAUAUUUGGUUCUGGACCUUAGCACUUAUACAGUACUGCACUAACUUACACACAAGGUUAAUUAAUGAUGUAA